rnacentral:rRNA from 1 species
GACGGAAGGUGCAAGCGUUGCUCGGAAUCACUGGGCGUAAAGGGUGCGUAGGCGGCUUGGUAAGUUGGGUGUGAAAGCCCCGGGCUCAGCCCGGGAAGGGCACUCGAAACUGCCGAGCUGGAGUGCCGGAGGGGAGAGUGGAAUUCCUGGUGUAGCGGUGAAAUGCGUAGAUAUCAGGAGGAAUACCGGUGGCGAAGGCGGCUAGCUGGCCUGUAACUGACGCUGAGGCGCGAAGGCUAGGGGAGCGAACAGG